rnacentral:misc_RNA from 1 species
UCGUAUAGUGGUUAGUAUCCC